AACAGGCAAACCAAAUAUCAUUUUGUAUCUGAAAAAAGCACAGCAUAAAAUUUGGAUAAUUUUGUUGUGCUAGGUUCAGUUUAGCCCAGUGUUCAAUAACUCAUUUUGUAGAGAAAAAGAAGAACAAAAAAGUAAAAUAAAAAAAACAUUGCUCUUUUUUUUUACAAUUUUUAAUUCAGUCGUCGUCGUGGAUAUAAAAAGUUUAAAAGAAAAAAAUUUAAUUUAAUUUCAGCUGUGAUUCAGUGCAGUUAAAAAAUAAAUUAAAUAGAAAAACUAUAUAAAAUUUCAAAUAAUAAAAGAAAGAAAGUAAAUUCACUUCAUUCAAAAGAAAAAUACAACAAUUAAUAUAGGCAUUUUUUUUUCUAAUUUUACGUUUGAAUGAAAGUUUUUACGUAAAAAUAAUAGAAAAUUUUGAUUUAAAAUAGUCAAAAUUGAAUAGAAAUUUAUAAAAAAGAAUAUUAAAUAAAACAUUAAUUGAGAAUUUCAUAGAAGUAAAAGGAAAAAGAAGAAAAUAAAAUUGUACCAAACCCUAAAAAAAAAGAGAAGAAAAAAAUAAAAAUAGAAAAGAAUUGAUUUUAAUAAAGAGAAAAAAAAAGAAAUAAAAAAAACGAAAAAAAAAUUGUAGCAGCUGAUUUUAAAUGUUCAAAAAAGAAAAGAAAUUUUCUGCCAAUUUAACAAGAAAUACCAUUAAAAUUUAGUUCCAAGAUAUUAAGAAUUCUUUUUUUAAGAUUAUAAUAAUUAAGUAUAUAAAGGUGCUAAUUACCAUCCAGUGUACCAUACAUAUAAGAAUCUUAAACCCGGCACAAAAUUAUUUACAAAAACAAAAAUUUAAGUGAAAAUAUUAAAAUCCUACUCUUAAUUUCUUUUUUUAUCUUUCAUUUUAAUUUAAUAUUAUAUUAUUAAGACAAAAACAAAUACAACAUGUUUUAGGGUAACUUACCUAUAUAAAUAUUAUGUUUUUUAUUUAAAUAAAAAUAAAUAUAAAUAAGUGUGUACAUAAAAAAAAAACGAAAUUGUAAAGUGAAAGAAACCAAAACAUACUAGAAGCACAAUAUACUAACAUUAUUAUUAAAUUAUUAAAAUCAAUAUAUGUACCAAUUUUAUAUACAUAUAAAUAUAUAUUUAUGUAUGUAUUAAAUAUAUAAUUCUGUUAUAUAUAAUAAUAUUUACAACUACGUAUAUAUAACUACUGGUAGAACCGAGUUAUAUCAACUUAGUUAUCGUUUAUUACGUACAUCAAGAAAUUCUAUAUAUAAUAAGGAAUGUUAAAGAGAGGGCAAAAUCAUCAAUUAUUAUCAAUUACAAUAUUUUUAUCGUAUAUGUUGGACAUCAUUUAUUAAUUUCUAUACAUUCAAUUAAAUCAUUUUUUUAAGUAUUAAAAUUAUUAAGAUUUUUCAAAUAGUAAAUGCACAUUAACACGUUUCGGAUUUAAAAAAAAAAAAACUAUAAAGGAAUUAGAAUUCUUCAUACAGGAAAAAAUUUAUUAACACAAAGAACUUCUUAUAGAUGUCUUACAAAUCUUUCAAGAAAAUAAAUAACACAAUUAUAAUACGACAGAUGUCGUUUACCAUUAUAACACUUCAAAUUUCCAAAUUGUAGUACAAGUUAUUAAAAAAAUUUUAGUAGAAAAAAAUAACAAAAAAAAAAAAAUUUAUUAUCUUAAUUUUUUUUUUAUUUAAAUUUUAUUUGAUAUUAUUUUGUAUAAAAAAUAAAUAUUUAAAAAAAUAAAAUAAAUAAAUGACGGCAUUAUGUACAAAUUAACAAAACAGUGCGGUAAAGAAAAUACAAUUAAAGGUGAUGUGAUAUAUCAUAAUUCAAAUGAUAAUCAUUGUCAUUGUAUAAAUAAUAAUAAUGAUGAUGAAGAUGAUGAAGAAGAUAUUAAUUAUAAUGAUGAUAAUAAAAUCAACAAUAAAAUUAUUAAAAAUCAAUUAUAUAAAAGAAAUGAUGAUGAUAAAAACAUUAUAAAUGAUAAUAAUAAUUAUAAUUUUAUUAUAAAUAAUAAAAAUAAUAAUUAUAACGAUUUUAAUAAUAAUGAUUAUUUUAAUUUAUUAUUUAUAUCGAAUUCAGUUAGAUGGCGCAAUCGAUUGCAAUAUUAUAUAAAUUCAUUUUUAUAUAA